rnacentral:rRNA from 1 species
GCCUCCAAGCAGUCCCUAAUCUACAGCCACAAUGCUGAAGCUAAGCAGAGCUGGGCCUGAUUUGUACCUGGAUGAGAAAUGCCUGGAAACAUCAGGUGGAGACC